GCGCGGGCGCGGCGUCGCGGCGUCCGGCGGCGCAGGGCGCGGGGCGCGGCAUACCUUCUCCCCUCUCUCUCACUAACCCUGGCCUCCCAUACGUUCUCCCCUCUCCCUCUCCUCUCCCUCUCACUCGUUCCCUUCCCUAACCCUAACCCACCGUGUAGGCGGACGACGGCGGGCGCACAGCACGGAGCGGGCGCAGCGGUGUGGAUCUGGGCAGCGGCGCGGGAAGGGGAGGAUCCAGUUGGUUUCCCCACGAGCAGCAACUUCCAUUGACCGGUUCAAGGUUAGUUUGAUUGAUUUUUGAUCAAGACUCGGUGGAGAAGGAGGAGGUGCUGCUGCGGCUCGACACCGGGGAGGCCUGCUUAUUCAAUUGCAAUGCUACUCUGUGAUGGAUGAAUUCUGAAUCCGUGAAGUGUGUGUUCUGUGACACAGACAAGGCAGCAACUGGACAUCGUGCAAGAUAUGGAAGAUCAAUUUCUCAAAUAGCUUGGUUUCUGUGGAAGCAAAGAUGAAUUCUUUUGAAUAUGAGAUUCUAUAGUUUAUUAGGUUAAAUCUGAGAUGAACUAUUAUUUGAAUUUUGUUGUAUUGUGAUUGUAUUUGUUAUUAGUUGAAUCUGAGAUGGUAUUUGUCAUUAGGUUUGAAUCUAUGAUGUUAUGAGAAUUUGGAUUGAAUUUGUGGGCUCAAAUUUAAUGGGUCUGUUUAGUAGACUUUGAUUUGAUAGUUGGGUUGAUAAAAUGGGUAGUUGUAAAAAAAUAAUGGACCACUGUUAAAAAAU